rnacentral:misc_RNA from 1 species
UCUCCGUAGGUGAACCAGCGGAAGGAUCAUUAUUGAAUGACACACCUCUGGCUUACUACUGUUGUGCUACCCCUUUAGACAAUGUGCACACGGCUCUGGUCACUUGUUUCUUCUGUUCCACCUGUGCCCGGCCUGUCGACACGCUGUGUCUAUAAUAGUUUUUCACACACAACAAUGUUAAUUAGCAAAAUCUAUAUACUACUAAAAUAUACAACUUUCCAUCACUGAUCUCUUGACUCUCUCAUCGAUGAAGAACGCAGAAGACCGGUAACGGCCACG